UAGGGAAUCUUCCGCAAUGGACGCAAGUCUGACGGAGCAACGCCGCGUGAGUGAAGAAGGAUUUCGGUUCGUAAAACUCUGUUGUUAGAGAAGAACAGCGCAUAGAGUAACUGUUAUGCGUGUGACGGUAUCUAACCAGAAAGCCACGGCUAACUACGUGCCAGCAGCCGCGGUAAUACGUAGGUGGCAAGCGUUGUCCGGAUUUAUUGGGCGUAAAGCGAGCGCAGGCGGUCAAUUAAGUCUGAUGUGAAAGCCCCCGGCUCAACCUGGGAGGGUCAUUGGAAACUGGUUGACUUGAGUGCAGAAGAGGAGAGUGGAAUUCCAUGUGUAGCGGUGAAAUGCGUAGAUAUAUGGAGGAACACCAGUGGCGAAGGCGACUCUCUGGUCUGUAACUGACGCUGAGGCUCGAAAGCGUGGGUAGCAAACAGG
rnacentral:rRNA from 1 species